AUGCAUUUUAAGUGUUUUUGCCUUAUACUUCCAAAUUAAAUACUAGUUAUUAAUAGAACUCUAGACAUGCAAAUAUCAUUCUAAGCUUAUUGUAGCACAGGGCAUUAUGGCAUUCCCAUACAUUUAGUUACUGAUUUCUACUAAAGAAAUUGGGGAAGUUUAGAUCUCCACUUGGGGAGAUCAGUAGUUGGGCUCUCCCAGACGAAUAAUAACAGCAGUAUUUAUGUUUGGGAUUUUUUCCUCAAGAGAAUCAUUUGAGGGAAAAGACUCAUUUUUCCAUUAUAAAAAGUCCAGCAAAAUCUAAUAGGGAGUGGAAAAAAAAAAGGUAGACAAUUAUAAAAUGCACUGGAAAAUCACAUCCAUUUUAUGGCACAUUUGGGCCCUUCAGAUCUUUAGCAGGACAUAAAAGGAAGAUAUUGUCCAUGUAAUUCUACAGAAUUUGCAGUAGAAUAUCACAGUUUAUCUGCACUGUUUAGAAAUACCUUGGUUCAGAACAACUACCUUUGGAGAUAAAGACAGUAUUGUGAGGUCAGAAAAUCUUUCCACUAAGUGCAUUCCAUGGCAAAGACUGGUGUUUAACUUGACUAACAGCAGAAAACAGAAGGCAGUCAAGACUGGCCAGGAGAUGUGUGGUGCAAUCUGUGUUCUGAAACCAAGCCAAGAAACAGAACGUUAAUCUUUAAGUUAAGGAGCAACUGUUGACCGUUGGCUACUGAUGAUCUACUGUGUUAACCAGUUUCCUAGUUUUUCUCCAGAUGAAGGAAGAAAAAUAAUGAACCUGAGACGUCCAAGGAGCAAAACUGCCGGAAUUCACCGUAUUUGUUUACAUGAGCUUCAAUGCUGUGAGAGAAUAGAUGUUGAAGUCCUCUCAUUCAUAAAUCUGCCUUUUUGGGGGAGUUUCUAAAUUCCUUAAGCUUAAACAAUUUAAUUUAUCAUAAGAGUUUUAAAUAUAUUAUAAAUACUUAAUAUGAGGUUUUCAACUUUGAAAGCUUUAUUUUGACAGUAUAAAUAAAGCAUGAAGGUGACCAUGUUAAACUCUUUUC
rnacentral:lncRNA from 1 species